GACGAACGCUGGCGGCGUGCCUAACACAUGCAAGUCGAACGAGAGUAGCAAUACUCUAGUGGCGGACGGGUGAGUAACACGUGGGUAACCAACCUUGAUGAGGGGAAUAGCCUUCCGAAAGGAAGAAUAAAACCGCAUAAAAUUAAAUCAUCGCAUGAUGAAUUAAUAAAAAGAGCAAUCUGCAUCAAGUCGGGCCCGCGUCGCAUUAGCUAGUUGGUAAGGUAAAGGCUUACCAAGGCAACGAUGCGUAGCCGAUCUGAGAGGAUGAACGGCCACAUUGGAACUGAGAAACGGUCCAGACUCCUACGGGAGGCAGCAGUGGGGAAUAUUGCACAAUGGGGGAAACCCUGAUGCAGCGACGCCGCGUGAGUGAAGAAGGCCUUCGGGUCGUAAAGCUCUGUCAUUUGGGAAGAAAAAAGACGGUACCAAAUGAGGAAGCCACGGCUAACUACGUGCCAGCAGCCGCAGUAACAC
rnacentral:rRNA from 1 species